rnacentral:snoRNA from 1 species
GAUCAAUGAUGAAAAGGUUUCACUACAGACCUUUAUAAACUAUAAGGGUUUAGACACUUGCUCUGAGCUCA